GUGGGGAAUCUUCCGCAAUGGACGAAAGUCUGACGGAGCAACGCCGCGUGAGUGAAGAAGGUUUUCGGAUCGUAAAGCUCUUUCGUUAGGGACGAACGUGCUCUUUGUAAAUAAUGAGGAGUAAUGACGGUACCUAAAUAAGAAGCCACGGCUAACUACGUGCCAGCAGCCGCGGUAAUACGUAGGUGGCAAGCGUUGUCCGGAAUUAUUGGGCGUAAAGCGCGCGCAGGCGGGAUAUCAAGUCUGUCUUAAAAGUGCGAGGCUCAACCUCGUGAGGGGACAGAAACUGGUAUUCUUGAGUGUCGGAGAGGAAAGUGGAAUUCCAAGUGUAGCGGUGAAAUGCGUAGAGAUUUGGAAGAACACCAGUGGCGAAGGCGACUUUCUGGACGAUGUCUGACGCUGAGGCGCGAAAGCUAGGGGAGCGAACGGGAUUAGAAACCCGUGUAGUCC
rnacentral:rRNA from 1 species